GGAUUAUCAUAGGAGAUUCUGCAUCCUAAUGAUGCAGACUCUGUAUAUAUGUAACUGGAAACACAUAAAUAAUGAUAAUCAUACCAGAAUCAUUCUGAUCUCUGGAAUUCUACAUGUUAUCAGAGCGAGGGUGCAUCCACUAAGACCUAAGCCCCGUCUCUCUUUAUUCUAAACCUCCUAUCUCUGUCCCUGUUCUCGUCCUCACGACAUGACCAAUACCAACGCUGAAACUCCUCGAGCUGGCAGCUCUCCACCGCAGUCACCAUCCGUGACUUCAGAAGAUCCGUCGCUGAAGCGCACCAAUCCAGCAGCCCUAUCAGAAUCUGUCCUAGGCUGCAUCACUAAUCAUAGGCUAAACGGAGACAACUACCUACCGUGGUCGUCAUCCGUGCUGAAAUUCAUCUCAAGAAAGGGAAAAAGGGGAUACCUGACUGGAAAGACAAAGCAGCCAGCAGAGGAUGACCCAAAAUUUGUCAACUGGGAUAUUGAGGACAAUAUGGUCCAGUCGUGGCUUUUGAAUUCAAUGACUACGUCCAUUGGUGAAAAGUUUCUUCUUCACCAAACUGCCCAUGAGAUCUGGGAUGGAGCUAGACACACAUACUCCAAUCAGGCAAACAAGGCUGAAGCCUUUGAAGUGGAGAUGCGACUCCAUGAUCUCAAACAAGGGGAAAAGUCAGUCACUCAGUACCAUGACGAACUGAGCAAGUGCUGGCUACAGCAGGAUCUGUACGACGUCCACCUAUGGAAGUGUACAGAACGUCCACUUGUGGAAGUGUACAGAAGAUGCAGAACUGUAUCGUCAAAUCCUUCAGACCAAACGGACCAUCCGUUUCCUCCUGGGACUGAAUCAGGCCCUUGAUGAGGCCAAGGGAAGGAUCAUGGGCCGUCUUCCUCUUCCAUCAGUCAGGGAGGCGUUUGCUGAAAUCAAGUGGGAAGAGAGCAGGAGAAAGCUCAUGAUUCCUGAGUCUAAGAACACUCCAGUGGAGGGUUCUGCUCUUGCCACUCACUACACUGGAAAUCAAGGGAAUGCUUACACCAAGUCUGGAAAGCUGCGUCCUCAGUGCACUCACUGUAACAAGAUAGGGCACACUAAGGAAACCUGCUGGAAACUACAUGGGAAGCCUGCUGACUGGAAACCUAAGGCAGAAAGGGAGGCUCAUGCACAGGCUUCUGCCACUGAGCAAGCUCAACAGAUUGGUCAGAUGACCAGAGAACAACUGGAGAUCCUCCAGCAGAUGAUGGC
rnacentral:lncRNA from 1 species